GACGAACGCUGGCGGCGUGCUUAACACAUGCAAGUCGAACGGAAAGGCCCUGCUUUUGUGGGGUGCUCGAGUGGCGAACGGGUGAGUAACACGUGAGUAACCUGCCCUUGACUUUGGGAUAACUUCAGGAAACUGGGGCUAAUACCGGAUAGGAGCUCCUGCUGCAUGGUGGGGGUUGGAAAGUUUCGGCGGUUGGGGAUGGACUCGCGGCUUAUCAGCUUGUUGGUGGGGUAGUGGCUUACUAAGGCUUUGACGGGUAGCCGGCCUGAGAGGGUGACCGGCCACAUUGGGACUGAGAUACGGCCCAGACUCCUACGGGAGGCAGCAGUGGGGAAUAUUGCACAAUGGGCGGAAGCCUGAUGCAGCAACGCCGCGUGCGGGAUGACGGCCUUCGGGCUGUAAACCGCUUUCGCCUGUGACGAAGCGUGAGUGACGGUAAUGGGUAAAGAAGCACCGGCUAACUACGUG
rnacentral:rRNA from 1 species